rnacentral:rRNA from 1 species
UACGUAGGGUGCAAGCGUUAAUCGGAAUUACUGGGCGUAAAGCGUGCGCAGGCGGUUAUGUAAGACAGGUGUGAAAUCCCCGGGCUUAACCUGGGAACUGCAUUUGUGACUGCAUAGCUAGAGUACGGUAGAGGGGAUGGAAUUCCGCGUGUAGCAGUGAAAUGCGUAGAUAUGCGGAGGAACACCGAUGGCGAAGGCAAUCCCCUGGACCUGUACUGACGCUCAUGCACGAAAGGCGUGGG